rnacentral:rRNA from 1 species
AGUGAACGCUAGCGGCGUGGAUUAGGCAUGCAAGUCGCGCGCGAAAGUCCGCAAGGACGAGUAAAGCGGCAAAAGGGUGAGUAAUACAUGGCUAACGUACCCCUGACUCCGGCACAACCACUGGAAACGGUGGCUAAUUCCGGAUGGUCUCCGAGGAUCGCAUGGUCUUCGGGGUAAAGGUAGGGACCUUCGGGCCUUCCGGUUGGGGAGCGAGCCAUGGGCUAUCAGCUUGUUGGUGAGGUAAUGGCUCACCAAGGCUCUGACGGCUAGGCGGUCUGAGAGGAUGGCCGCCCACAUCGGGACUGAGACACUGCCCGGACUCCUACGGGAGGCUGCAGUCGAGGAUCUUCUGCAAUGGGCGCAAGCCUGACAGAGCGACGCCGCGUGAGGGAUGAAGGCUUUCGGGUUGUAAACCUCUUUCGCCCGUUACGAAUUCCUGGGAGUGAAUAGCUUCCAGGUUGACUAAGGCGGGUAAAGAAGCACCGGCUAACUACGUGCCAGCAGCC